GUCGAUGGUAGGUUACGCGCCUACCAUGGUUGUCACGGGUGACGGGGAAUCAGGGUUCGAUUCCGGAGAGGGAGCCUGAGAAACGGCUACCACAUCCAAGGAAGGCAGCAGGCGCGCAAAUUACCCACUCCCGGCACGGGGAGGUAGUGACGAAAAAUAACGAUACGGGACUCAUAUGAGGCUCCGUAAUCGGAAUGAGUACACUUUAAAUCCUUUAACGAGGAUCCACUGGAGGGCAAGUCUGGUGCCAGCAGCCGCGGUAAUUCCAGCUCCAGUAGUCUAUGCCAAAGUUGUUGCGGUUAAAAAGCUCGUAGUUGGAUCUCGGUUCGAGACGGUUGGACCGCCUUUCGGGCGGUUUUCCUGACCGCUGCGAACAGAAUGAACUGGCACGUCCGGCGGUGCUCUUCAUCGAGUGUCGUCGGGUGGCCGGUGCGUUUACUUUGAAAAAAUUAGAGUGAUCAAAGCAGGCGGAGAUGCCAGAAUAAUAGUGCAUGGAAUAAUGAAAUAGGAUCUCGGUUCUAUUUUGUUGGUUCUCGGAACGCGAGAUAAUGAUUAAUAGGAACAGACGGGGGCAUUCGUAUUGCGACGUUAGAGGUGAAAUUCUUGGAUCGUCGCAAGACGGAC
rnacentral:rRNA from 1 species